rnacentral:rRNA from 1 species
AUUGAACGCUGGCGGCAGGCUUAACACAUGCAAGUCGAACGAGUGGCGGACGGGUGAGUAAUGUCUGGGAAACUGCCCAAUGGAGGGGGAUAACUACUGGAAAGGGUAGCUAAUACCGCAUACUAUCGGAGGUGCCCAGAGGGGAUUAGCUAGUAGGUGGGGUAACGGCUCACCAAGGCGACGAUCCGUAGCUGGUCUGAGAGGACGACCAGCCACACUGGAACUGAGACACGGUCCAGACUCCUACGGUAGGCAGCAGUGGGGAAGAUUGGACAAUGGGCGAAAGCCUGAUGCAGCCAUGCCGCGUGUAUGAAGAAGGCCUUCGGGUUGUAAAGUACUUUCAGCGAGGAGGCGUUACUCGCAGAAGAAGCACCGGCUAACUCCGUGCCAGCAGCCGCGGUAAUUC